rnacentral:lncRNA from 1 species
GAUGAUUGUUGUUGGAAUUGUUGUUGUUGUAGGUGUUUGUUCUUUGUUGCAGUUGUUGUUGUUGACGUUGAUUUUGAUACUGAUGUUGUUGUUGUUGUAUUGGUGUUGUUUGCUGAUUGGAGAAUACUGGAAUGACGGAUGAUACUUGAUGAUGAUGAUGUUGACGGGGUGGUGGAUUUCCUCUGACUUGAGGCCUCCUCUGCUUCCCACUGGUUAUUACGUUUGUUUCAC